rnacentral:rRNA from 1 species
AUUGAACGCUGGCGGAAUGCUUUACACAUGCAAGUCGAACGGCAGCACGGGGCAACCUGGUGGCGAGUGGCGAACGGGUGCGUAAUACAUCGGAACGUGCCCAAUCGUGGGGGAUAACGUAGCGAAAGUUACGCUAAUACCGCAUACGAUCUACGGAUGAAAGCGGGGGAUCGCAAGACCUCGCGCGAAUGGAGCGGCCGAUGUCAGAUUAGGUAGUUGGUGGGGUAAAGGCUCACCAAGCCAACGAUCUGUAGCUGGUCUGAGAGGACGACCAGCCACACUGGGACUGAGACACGGCCCAGACUCCUACGGUAGUCAGCAGUGGGGAAUUUUGGACAAUGGGCGCAAGCCUGAUCCAGCCAUUCCGCGUGCAGGAUGAAGGCCUUCGUGUUGUAAACUGCUUUUGUACGGAACGAAACGGUUCUCUCUAAUACAGGGGGCUAAUGACGGUACCGUAAGAAUAAGCACCGGCUAACUACGUGCCAGCCGCCGCCGUAAGAC